UGGUGGAGUGAUUUGUCUGGUUAAUUCCGUUAACGAACGAGACCUCCGCGUGCUAAAUAGUUCUGCCUACAAUUUCGUAGGUAAGGACUUCUUAGAGGGACUUUUGGUGACUAACCAAAGGAAGUUGGAGGCAAUAACA
rnacentral:rRNA from 1 species